UAGAAAAUACACGAGUACAGGAUGAGAACCGUUAGAGGUUCGAUUCGCAUGACGCAGUCAUAAGAAAACAUCGGAGCUUGCGACGAUGGCCCGAAGGGCAAUAGUAAUCCUGUACGACCCACCA
rfam:Neptuniibacter sp. Phe_28 scaffold_308, whole genome shotgun sequence.